UACGUAGGGCGCAAGCGUUAUCCGGAAUUAUUGGGCGUAAAGAGCUUGUAGGCGGUUUGUCGCGUCUGCUGUGAAAUUUCGGGGCUCAACCCCGAACUUGCAGUGGGUACGGGCAGACUAGAGUGCGGUAGGGGAGACUGGAAUUCCUGGUGUAGCGGUGGAAUGCGCAGAUAUCAGGAGGAACACCGAUGGCGAAGGCAGGUCUCUGGGCCGUUGACUGACGCUGAGGAGCGAAAGCAUGGGGAGCGAACAGG
rnacentral:rRNA from 1 species